rnacentral:tRNA from 1 species
CAGAGAGUAGCUUACCAAUAUUAAAGCCUCCAACUUACAAUUGGCCGAUGUCUGACCAUGACCUCUCUGA